rnacentral:lncRNA from 1 species
CUGCCGGCUAUAUAUAAGAGUAUUGGUGUGCUCAGCCAUAUUUGUGCAGAGCAAAUCAGGGUUGGAAGGAUUUUCUUUGAGUGAACACCUCUGCUCCCAUUGCUUACUCACUAUACUUGUGCUAAUUUCUUUUUCCUAAACUUGUGAAUUUUCACCUAGUCAUGUACAUAUCUUUUUCAGUGCAUCCCAUAGGAUUAGGAGGCAUCUGGAUACAUCAAAAGCUUAAAACCAAUGUGGCUGAGAAUGCAAUGAAGAAGAAAUUAGAAAAAAUGUAUACGCAUUGAGGAUCAUGAUCACUGGGUUGUCGCAAAGUUGGGGAUACAAUUCAAACCUCUAACAUUUUCUCUUGAUAAAAGACUCAGAAGAGUCCUGCUUUUACUGAAAGCAUAAAGAGUGUUUGCUGGAGUUACCAGCUUACAUCCAGGCACAAAAUUAGCCUCCACAGUUUCAUAAAUUUUCAUUCAAUAUAUUCUGAAAUGUAUCUAUCAAGAGAAAUUUUGGAGGAGGCGAAUGAUGUCACGAGCUCCUAGCAGAGACCGGAUUGGAUAAG